rnacentral:ncRNA from 1 species
AUACCUGGGGGUAGCGACUGUUUAUUAAAAAACACAGGACUCUGCUAAGUGGUAACACGAUGUAUAGAGUCUGACACCUGCCCGGUGCUGGAAGGUCGGAAGGAAAAGUGUUAUAAGCUUUGAAUGGAAGCCCCGCUAAACGGUGGCAGUAACUCUAACUGUCCUAUAUAUAUAUAUACACACACACAAACAUAUCGUACCAAAAUCAAAAGCAGGUCCGGAUCAAGUGGAGCACGCCAACUCU